rfam:Drosophila virilis strain TSC#15010-1051.87 Ctg01_14646, whole genome shotgun sequence.
CUGUCCCCGUGUUAUUUGCGGCACGUUCACAAAGCGCCGUGAUUGUCAAAGGGGACGCAUAGCAAUUUGCCAAUAACUCGUUAUUGUGCGCCAAUUACGCAUCCUUGCGGGCGCACAUCUCCAUAUAUUGGCUAUAUAU